rnacentral:pre_miRNA from 1 species
AGAGGAUGGAGCUGAAUGGGAUUUUGCUGCCUGAAAUGGUCCCAUCCAGCCCCAGUCCUGCUGC